CCGAGAGCACUGAGAGGUCACCCUGGUGGGUGUGCUGGCCCCAGUUUGGCAGGAGCGCACACAUGGCAUCCUAAACAUCUCUUCAGUGUUUGAGGGAAGAGCACCCUGGCCACCUGAUCUAUGGGAAGCAGAGAUGUUGGGGGCAACUCUGAAGUUGGGAUGGAGACGGUUGGAAGCUCAUCCAUGCCAUCAUUUCACCUUGAGCUGUGGACACUCGCUAGAGAAUGCUCACCUUACAGGAUUUAAUGCAGAAGCCAGGUACAAGAAGCAGAGUAACCGUCAUCAAAGAGCCUACGAGUGGCCGGCUUCUGUCUGGUUUAGCGAAGGCAGCUUGUAUUGCCAUGGUAUUUGGGUGUGGGCUUUAUUACAUUAAAGGGGAUCUGGAGAGUGGGGAUAUA